rnacentral:piRNA from 1 species
UGGACUGACUGUACUCAGCUACUGUGUGU